GACGAACGCUGGCGGCGUGCCUAAUACAUGCAAGUCGAACGCAGUGUGGACGGGUGAGUAACACGUUGGUAACCUCCCCAUCAGAGGGGAUAACACUUGGAAACAGGUGCUAAACCGAUAUUGAUGGAUGGACCCGCGGUGCAUUAGCUAGUUGGUGAGGUAACGGCUCACCAAGGCCACGAUGCAUAGCCGACCGGAGAGUGUGAUCGGCCACACUGGGACUGAGACACGUCCCAGACUCCUACGGGAGGCAGCAGUAGGGAAUCUUCGGCAAUGGACGAAAGUCUGACCGAGCAACGCCGCGUGAGUGAAGAAGGUUUUCGGAUCGUAAUACUCUGUUGUUAGAGAAACGGUAUCAAACAAGAAAGCCACGGCUAACAAAGAGCCAGCAGCCGCGGUAAUAC
rnacentral:rRNA from 1 species